CGCGUAGGCGGUUUGAUAAGUCAGAUGUGAAAGUCCAUGGCUCAACUGUGGAUGUGCAUUUGAAACUGUCAGACUUGAGUAUCGGAGGGGAGUGUGGAAUUCCCGGUGUAGAGGUGAAAUUCGUAGAGAUCGGGAGGAACACCGGUGGCGAAGGCGACACUCUGGACGAAUACUGACGCUGAGGCGCGAAAGCGUGGGGAGCAAACA
rnacentral:rRNA from 1 species